rnacentral:lncRNA from 1 species
GCCAACCGUGUGAGUGUAAGGAAUUCAGUUAACCUCCUUGAGCUGAGCUUCCUUGUCUGUAUCAUAAACACAACCACAUGUCCCUCCGUGGGGAUUAAUGUGUGGACCUAAUACUGCACACCUGGCAGAGACUGCUUAGGACACUCCCUACUUCUCCCAUGACAACAAAGCUCCCCAUGGCUCUUCCCAUCUGCAGUUCUCAAAGUCAUCAUAAUUGGUCAACCAACCCACCCGUCCAUCUAGCCAUCCAUCCACCCACCAGGAAGUACGUAAGUAAGUAAAUUGUUACAUUCAAUAAGAUUAUUAUUUACUCUGGUUACUAGUUUAUAUCAUCUCAUCUGUUUUCAAAGGCAACCCAUGAAGCAGCCUUGGCAAGUACCACCCCCGAGGACAGAGGCUAGAAUAAAAUCAAGAGCUGCCACCAGUUUCAGAUUUCCUGACCAGCUAAAGACCAGUGGGAUGUGUGGUGUGUUUUCCAAAGGCAAGUUUCUGGACCAGAGAUUCCCGCAGCCUGGCUCGGCAGGGGCCAGGUACUUCUGGAAGGCGAGCAUUCCUAAAAUACGUUCUUUGAGAAGCUCCGAAUGGUCAUAUCCAUUCACCAUCUCUAAGGCACCGAGUCUUUGCUGGUUAUCAAUGGAAAGGAUGGAUCGUGAGUUCCAAGCUGUUAGCAACAGCUAACAUUUAUUUAUCAAUAAUAUUGUCCCAAUAGACUGUCUGUGGCGGCCACAACACCCCUUCCCAAGGAUCUAUGGGUCCCUCCCAGCCAGCUGUUGGGGGGUGGGGUUACUAUUAUUAUCCAAAUACAUAGCACAACAAUUAGGAGCCCAGAGAUGAGAGCCAGCAAAGUUUGCGUUCCUGCUCUCACACACUGCAUGACACUGUACAAGUCUCAAUGUCUUUAUCUGUAAAAUGGAAAAUAUGAUACUUAACCCACAAACUUCAUGUCAGGAUUAAAAGACAUCACAUAUGAAAUGUCCUUUCACAGUGCUGACCCAGUG